AACGCACAUUGCGCCCUCUGGUAUUCCGGAGGGCAUGCCUGCUUGAGUGUCAUUAACCUCUCUCGACCCCCGCCUUUUGUGUGGAUGUGUCGUUGGUGUUGGGAGUCGCGUCCGCCCCAGGUGGACGCCCUCCUCAAAUGCAUUGGUGCGGCCCAUUGCCCGGUUACACAACGUUCUAGGUUCGUCCAACUCGUUGCAAUCCGAAGCAGAUGCAGGCGCUGCACCUAAAGCCCGGGCGGUGCGUCCUCGCUCCGCCCAUAUCUACUCAUUGACCUCAGAUCAGGUAGGAAUACGCGCUGAACUUAA
rnacentral:misc_RNA from 1 species